rnacentral:rRNA from 1 species
GACGAACGCUGGCGGCGUGCCUAAUACAUGCAAGUUGAGCGCUGAAGGUUGGUACUUGUACCAACUGGAUGAGCAGCGAACGGGUGAGUAACGCGUGGGGAAUCUGCCUUUGAGCGGGGGACAACAUUUGGAAACGAAUGCUAAUACCGCAUAAAAACUUUAAACACAAGUUUUAAGUUUGAAAGAUGCAAUUGCAUCACUCAAAGAUGAUCCCGCGUUGUAUUAGCUAGUUGGUGAGGUAAAGGCUCACCAAGGCGAUGAUACAUAGCCGACCUGAGAGGGUGAUCGGCCACAUUGGGACUGAGACACGGCCCAAACUCCUACGGGAGGCAGCAGUAGGGAAUCUUCGGCAAUGGCCGAAAGUCUGACCGAGCAACGCCGCGUGAGUGAAGAAGGUUUUCGGAUCGUAAAACUCUGUUGGUAGAGAAGAACGUUGGUGAGAGUGGAAAGCUCAUCAAGUGACGGUAACUACCCAGAAAGGGACGGCUAACUACGUG